UCGGUGAAUCCUCGGAUUGAU
ensembl:piRNA 21ur-3023 ncRNA